rnacentral:rRNA from 1 species
AGAACGAACGGUGGCGGCGUGGAUAAGACAUGCAAGUCGAACGGGAUAUUAUUUGUAGCAAUACAAGUAGUGUUCAGUGGCGCAAGGGUGCGUAACACGUGGGCAAUCUGCCCUGGAGCGCGGGAUAGCUCGGCGAAAGCCGAAUUAAUACCGCAUGUGACUAUCGAAGGAGUCUUCGAGACGUUAAAGGUGGCGCAAGCUGCCGCUCUUGGAUGAGCCCGCGGCCUAUCAGCUAGUUGGCGAGGUAAAAGC